AUAAAAGUGAUGAGUUAGACGAGUAGCUUCUAAUAGAGGGCAGUAGCAGAGACCUGAUGGAUGGUGAGAAUCAGGGCAUCUAGAAGUGAAUUUACAUCUAAUGAACUUUGUCGUUGUCCUCACGCUAUAGAGGAUCCAAGGUGGACAGUAAAUACUGUCAAAAAGGGUGGUACCGCGAAUUCGUUCGUCCCUUCA
rnacentral:ncRNA from 1 species